rnacentral:rRNA from 1 species
AAAAACAUCACCUCCAGCAUCCCUAGUAUUGGAGGCACUGCCUGCCCAGUGACAACUGUUUAACGGCCGCGGUAUCCUGACCGUGCAAAGGUAGCAUAAUCAUUUGUUCUCUAAAUAAGGACUUGUAUGAAUGGCCACACGAGGGUUUUACUGUCUCUUACUUCCAAUCAGUGAAAUUGACCUUCCCGUGAAGAGGCGGGAAUGCAUAAAUAAGACGAGAAGACCCUAUGGAGCUUUAACUAACCAACCCAAAGAAAAUAAAUUUAACCAUUGAGGAACAACAACAAUCUCCAUGAGUUGGUAGUUUCGGUUGGGGUGACCUCGGAGAAUAAAAAAUCCUCCGAACGAUUUUAAAGACUAGACCCACAAGUCAAAUCACUCUAUCGCUCAUUGAUCCAAAAAUUUGAUCAACGGAACAAGUUACCCUAGGGAUAACAGCGCAAUCCUAUUUAAGAGUCCAUAUCGACAAUAGGGUUUACGACCUCGAUGUUGGAUCAGGACAUCCUGAUGGUGCAACCGCUAUCAAAGGUUCGUUUGUUCAACGAUUAAAGUCCUACAUGAUCUG